AAGGUUUGCAGCUAUUUUAUUUACAAGUAUACAUUUAACACAAUGAAAUAAACACUGAUAUAUUGAAGCCUAGUUAAUAGUAGUGUAGAUAGGAAGA